UACGGGGGGGGUAAGCGUUGUUCGGAAUUACUGGGCGUAAAGGGCUCGUAGGCGGCCAACUAAGUCGGUACGAGAAAAUCCCUCAGCUUAACUGGGGAACUGCGUCUGAUACUGGAUGGCCUGGAUUUGGGAGAGGGAUGCGGAAUUCCAGGUGUAGCGGUGAAAUGCGUAGAUAUCUGGAGGAACACCGGUGGCGAAGGCGGGUCUCUGGGCCGAUACUGACGCUGAGAAGCGAAAGCGUGGGGAGCGAACAGG
rnacentral:rRNA from 1 species